rnacentral:rRNA from 1 species
CCUACGGGUGGCAGCAGUGAGGAAUAUUGGUCAAUGGACGCAAGUCUGAACCAGCCAAGUCGCGUGCAGGAUGACGGCCCUAUGGGUUGUAAACUGCUUUUGUACGGGGAUAAAGUCAGGUACGUGUACCUGUUUGCAUGUAUCUUAUGAAUAAGGAUCGGCUAACUCCGUGCCAGCAGCCGCGGUAAUACGGAGGAUUCAAGCGUUAUCCGGAUUUAUUGGGUUUAAAGGGAGCGUAGGCGGGCUGUUAAGUUAGUGGUGAAAGUUCGCGGCUCAACCUCAAAAUUGCAAUUGAUACUGGAAGGCUUGAGAAUAGUUGCGGUAGGCGGAAUGCGUGGUGUAGCGGUGAAAUGCUUAGAUAUCAUGAAGAACUCCGAUUGCGAAGGCAGCUUACUAAACUGCUUCUGACGUUGAGGCUCGAAAGCGUGGGGAGCAAACAGGAUUAGAUACCCCGGUAGUC